GAUACCCUAUUAUUGUUGAUUUCCUAAUCUAGGGUAGUACAAAAUAUAGUUUUUAAACUCAAAAGGUUUGGCGGUGGUCAAUCUUCUCAGAGGAACCUGUUUCUUAAUAGACACAACACGAAAAAUCUUACCUCCUUAUUGCUCAUAUACCGUCAUCUAAAUACCUUUUAAAAAAGUUAUUUUAAGGAGACAAUAAAGUUAGAUCAAGGUGUGGCUUACUGAGGUAGAAAUGGGUUACAUUCUAUAUAAAGGUGGAUCUCCUCCUGAAAUAAAGUUUGAAAAUGGAUUUGAUAGUAAUAAAUUUUUAAUAAGAUUUUAUGAAUAAAAGCUCUUGACCGUGUACAUAU
rnacentral:rRNA from 1 species